rfam:Prunus persica cultivar Lovell chromosome G5, whole genome shotgun sequence.
CACUGGAGGCAGCGGUUCAUCGAUCUCUUCCUGAGAUUUGUUGUGAAAAUACAAAACAUGAAUCGGUCGAUAAACCUCUGCAUCCAGC